CUUUGCCUCCAGCUGCCUCAUUUUACCCAUCCUAAACCUCCGCUCAUCUCUGAUAACUGCACAGAGGACAUAAUUCCUUUGAAAAGUAGAGACCGGCUUGUAUCCAGCUGCUACUAUAAACUCAAGGGAAGGAAAAGAGCUUUGAGGGAACAAAAAUUAUGUGGACAGCGGGAACUGACUUUGACAUGAACUCUGGUGCUCCAUAUUUGACCACCUCCCCUUGCUGGGGAGGCCUGAUGUCACUCAAAGAAAGAAAAAGAAGGCUACCAAGAUGAGACUCGAUAUCCUAUGACCAUAUAGUGGGGAAAGAUGUCCGCCUCGGUC